rnacentral:rRNA from 1 species
AAAAACAUGUCUUUUUGGAAAUAAUUUAAAGUCUAAUCUGCCCACUGAUAAAUAUUAAAGGGCUGCAGUAUAUUGACUGUACAAAGGUAGCAUAAUCAUUAGUCUUUUAAUUGAAGACUUGUAUGAAAGAUUUAAUGAAAUAUAAACUGUCUCUUAUUUAUAAUUAGAAUUUAAUUUUUUAGUUAAAAAGCUAAAAUAAAUUUAAAAGACGAGAAGACCCUAUAGAGUUUUAUAAUUAAUUUAUUUUAGAUUAUAUAUAUAAUUUAAAAUUAAAAAUAAAUUAAUUAUUUUAUUGGGGUGAUAGAAAAAUUAAAUAAACUUUUUUUAAAUAUAGUCAUAAAUAAAUGAUUAAAUGAUCCAUUAAUAAUGAUUAAAAGAAAAAAUUACCUUAGGGAUAACAGCGUAAUUUUUUUUUUUAGUUCAAAUAAAAAAAAGAGAUUGCGACCUCGAUGUUGGAUUAAGAUAAAAUAUAAAUGCAAAAGUUUAAAAUUUUGAUCUGUUCGAUCAUUAAAAUCUUACAUGAU